rnacentral:rRNA from 2 species
UUCUCUGAUGUUAGCGGCGGACGGGUGAGUAACACGUGGAUAACCUACCUAUAAGACUGGGAUAACUUCGGGAAACCGGAGCUAAUACCGGAUAAUAUUUUGAACCGCAUGGUUCAAAAGUGAAAGACGGUCUUGCUGUCACUUAUAGAUGGAUCCGCGCUGCAUUAGCUAGUUGGUAAGGUAACGGCUUACCAAGGCAACGAUGCAUAGCCGACCUGAGAGGGUGAUCGGCCACACUGGAACUGAGACACGGUCCAGACUCCUACGGGAGGCAGCAGUAGGGAAUCUUCCGCAAUGGGCGAAAGCCUGACGGAGCAACGCCGCGUGAGUGAUGAAGGUCUUCGGAUCGUAAAACUCUGUUAUUAGGGAAGAACAUAUGUGUAAGUAACUGUGCACAUCUUGACGGUACCUAAUCAGAAAGCCACGGCUAACUACGUGCCAGCAGCCGCGGUAAUACGUAGGUGGCAAGCGUUAUCCGGAAUUAUUGGGCGUAAAGCGCGCGUAGGCGGUUUUUUAAGUCUGAUGUGAAAGCCCACGGCUCAACCGUGGAGGGUCAUUGGAAACUGGAAAACUUGAGUGCAGAAGAGGAAAGUGGAAUUCCAUGUGUAGCGGUGAAAUGCGCAGAGAUAUGGAGGAACACCAGUGGCGAAGGCGACUUUCUGGUCUGUAACUGACGCUGAUGUGCGAAAGCGUGGGGAUCAAACAGGAUUAGAUACCCUGGUAGUCCACGCCGUAAACGAUGAGUGCUAAGUGUUAGGGGGUUUCCGCCCCUUAGUGCUGCAGCUAACGCAUUAAGCACUCCGCCUGGGGAGUACGACCGCAAGGUUGAAACUCAAAGGAAUUGACGGGGACCCGCACAAGCGGUGGAGCAUGUGGUUUAAUUCGAAGCAACGCGAAGAACCUUACCAAAUCUUGACAUCCUUUGACAACUCUAGAGAUAGAGCCUUCCCCUUCGGGGGACAAAGUGACAGGUGGUGCAUGGUUGUCGUCAGCUCGUGUCGUGAGAUGUUGGGUUAAGUCCCGCAACGAGCGCAACCCUUAAGCUUAGUUGCCAUCAUUAAGUUGGGCACUCUAAGUUGACUGCCGGUGACAAACCGGAGGAAGGUGGGGAUGACGUCAAAUCAUCAUGCCCCUUAUGAUUUGGGCUACACACGUGCUACAAUGGACAAUACAAAGGGCAGCGAAACCGCGAGGUCAAGCAAAUCCCAUAAAGUUGUUCUCAGUUCGGAUUGUAGUCUGCAACUCGACUACAUGAAGCUGGAAUCGCUAGUAAUCGUAGA